UCGACUUUCCCUCUUCCACUCUCCCUCUAGGGUUCUCAAGCCACCACCUCAGUGCCGCUCUAGGCUUUGCCUCUGCUCUCGGCUGUAAUGCACUAUCCUUUCCUUUAUGUUUUGGUUUGGUUCCACGUCAUUGACCUCAUUGUUGUUGCCGCCAAAGUUGCCCUCUCUCGGAACAAGGGCGCUGAUUGGGCCUCUACUUCUGGCUUCGUUCGGGCUUGCUACAUCCACGCCAUCGCUACCAAGAAAAAGCUUGAACUAGCGAAACUCAAAGUUAUUGACUGUGGAAAACCGGUUGAUGAAGCCGCCUGGGACAUUGUAACCUCUCACAUCCCUAAAUUGCUGACUAAGCCUUAAGCCUCAAUCCUCAAGCCAUGGAUCACGAGCACUCCAACUUUUGAAUACAUACUCAGGAAAUGCAGUUGUGUUUGGAUGCUUGUGCAAAGCUUGUGCAAAUUAUGAGUCCAGUCCACAACUCUUAACCCAAGAGGAUUACCAAAAGGCCUAUCGCUCUUAACAAGAGCUCAAAGAUACUAACAAAUCAACAAAUUCAGAAGGAAACACAGAUUCUGCAGAUAAAACAUAUAGCUAGCAUCAAGAAGUCUUGCUAGCCAUGGCUGAGGAGUUUCAAGGUGCUAUUUGUGGUGAAAGUUGGUGGAAUAUUAUUAAUCCAACAAGAAGUGUGUUUCCUCUUAUGCCAUCAACUUGUUCUGUGGCAGCAGCUGAUGCAGGAAACUACAACACUUGGCAAAGUUUUCUUGAUGCCGGGAAGCCACACCAGAGUGGAACUAGUAGCAUCUUCAUCGAUUUCACCUUACAAAUGAUGGGUUUUGGCAUGUCAUCUUCAACUUCACCGAAUUGGAGUCAAUCUUUAUUAGGGAGCAGUUUUGAUUUUGUGCUUCAAGAAGAAGCGGGCAUAGGUGGUGGUGGUUCUUCCAAUGAUUCACAAAUCCAAAAGGAUUGGAGUCCAAAGAAUUUCUCAUCAGGUGGUGGCAGCCAGCAAGUUUCCACCGUUGAUGCUUUCAAGCCAAUGAACCAAGAAUUUUCCUUGGAUCAGCAGAGUCUAAAUUCUGUUGUUACAAGCCAAUGAACCAAGAACUUCUAGUUUUUGUUUUGCCAUUGCACACCAAAUUUAAAGGCUUAAUUUGCUACAUAAAUUACAUGCAUAAGAGAAUGGCUAAUGCAUUAAAUAAGAUAGUAGUUAUUUUUUUACCAAACAUAGUUAAGAAUAAAAUAUUUUUAGACGUAAUUAUUUAAUCUCAUUUUUACUUAGUUAGUCAAAUCCAAAUAUUGAAUUUCAAGAUAGCUAAUGCACCAAAAUUACACAAUUAAAAAUAGUGGAAUGAUUAAAUUCCUGAAAUAAAACGUAGAGACCAAAUUCAAGAAAUAACAAAAUAGAGAAUCAAAAGUUGAAUUAAGCUAAAUUUUAAUUAUUGAAGAUUGUUGAUUUAUUUAUAAAAUAAUUAAUUUGUUAAUAUUGAGAAUUGAUUGAUUGAUUUGUUAUGUGCAGGAAUUUGUCAUAAUUGGGGAAAUGAAUAGUGCAUAAAAAUCUUGAAGAACGGUAAGGAAGUCAUUCCAAAAGAAGGAUUACUCCCCGUUCGUCAAGUAAGAUUCAUCAGGUUCUGUAAGCAGCAUGCAGAAGGUGUAUGGGUUGAGUUGAUGUUUCCAUUGAGAUAAGUCAUGCUGCUGCUAAUGCACAACCAUUCAUGAUUUGUAGGAGGCUUCCUUCGGGCUGUAUUGUGCAGGAUAUGCCAAAUGGUUACUCAAAGGUUAGGUAGGGAUGAUGACAUGGUGGCUGUAUUAUCUCCAUCACACAAAGUGGGUCCACAACAUAUUAUGAAGUGGUUGUUGGGUUUGGACAUGUUGGUAGCUCGCAAGGGGGACAACCUUCACAUUGUGACUCUUGGUGAUGACAUGAAAGUGAUGACAAGGAAAAAUAUGGAUGACCCUAGUGAGCCUCCUGGAUUGUGCUCAAUGCUGCAACGUCUGUUUUGAUGUCAAUGUCAUGGCAAAGGCUGUUCGACUUUCUACAUGAUGAACGACUGAGAAGCGAGUGGGACAUAUUGUCCAAUGGUGGACCAAUGCAGGAGAUGGUACAUAUUGCCAAAGCUUGCAGCAGGUAUCUAACCUUAAGCUCAGCUUGAGUGGCAAUCACAUGAUUUUGAACAAUUAGCAAGAGAGUACCUCUGGUUCCCUUGGAAAGAACAUCUACACCUCCUCCACUUGUUUAAGCUAGAUGUAUCAGAAGUUUCAUCUGCAAAGAAUAAUGGCAAGCAUAAGAACAGACCAGGAUUUUUGGCUUAUUUGGAUUUUAUUUAUCACUGACAUGAAACAUGUAAAACAUGGAACAGGAAAACUCAAAAAACCUCAAUAUUAGAACAUAAAACUGAAAUUAAAUAUGAAUUAUCUCAUAUUGCAGGAAUAAAGUGGCCAUGCAAUGCCCAAUGUAUCAAAUUCAACUAUUUCCUUCCUUUUUACUAUUUAACCAGGAAGCA